rnacentral:lncRNA from 1 species
CCUAAGGUAAAUCCCAGAAGGAAACUGUUAGGUUCAAAAGAAUUCAUAUUCUUUUUUACUAGAUAUCACCAAAUGUCAGUACUGCUUUACAAUCCCAGAGAAAUGUGAGGUGCUUGAUUUUCCACAAUAUUAAUACUUGAUAUUUUCUCACUUACAUUCUUUGUCAUUUUUAAAGUUAAACAGCUUUUUAAAUUGCUUUAAUUUACAUUCUCGUUAGUACUGGUGAGAUUAAGCAUUUAUACUGGCUAUUUGAAGUAUCUCUUAUAAAUUGUGCAGAAAAAUAUGGUCUUUCCCUUACCUAAGAAAUCCAAGACUUUUAAAUAUGAGCAUUUCCUAAAUACUCCAAACACUAAUGUGUAAAAACGAACAGGCCCUUAGAUGUAAGGCCUUUACUUUUACAGAUGAUUUAAGCUGUUGAAUUCUUGGCAAGUGCUAUUUUCAACAUUUCCUUCCCCCCCUUCAAACAGGAUCAGUUAUAAUUUAUUAACUCAAUAAGCAUUUGAGGUCUUAAAUGUGUUUCCUAAAAAUGAAUUAUUUCUCUUUUAAAUAAAACAUUUUCAUUGUGGGCCAGAAUAUAAUCAUUGAAUUUCACAUCUGCCCUGUAUUCACUUUAAAAUGAACUUUUUAUGAAUUUUGAUAACUUUCCUAGAAAUGCGUUAACAUGGGGAUGUAACACAAACCUUCUGUUUCAAACCCUUGAGUUACACAGGUAGGUUUUGUUGCUUCCUGAACUGGAGGGGUGUGCUAAAUAAUACUUCUUGGCCCCUAGAAUGUUCCGUCACAAGUGCAUCCUGUGCUAGUUCAAAGAAGGCGUUUCACAGAUUUUAAUACCUGGGCUCAGGUUUCAAAACUAGGCUGAGAAAAUGGAGUAAGACUGACCUUUAGUGGCCACUCUGAGUAUCACAAAGGGAUAUAAUCUGUCUCAAGGGAAUAAGUGGACAAUCCUGUGUUUGCAAGACUACUUAAACAGAAACAUAGUAAGUUAGAACUGGCUAACCAUGACACCUUUUAUGUCAUUCCAUUCUAACAGAAGAUCAAAACCCUGUGAGUUGCUGUUCAGACAGCUGAAAAGGUGCACUUUUAACUGGAGCUUCAGAAACCAAAGGCCAAAUACCAACAACCCACUUUCACUGACAUUUUUGUGGCCAUCAUCAGAUAUCCGCAGCCAG